rnacentral:lncRNA from 1 species
UGGGGGAGGGGUUAGCCAUUAGUUUAUGUGUGCCUUUGAUGUAGUGAAACUCCCUAUUAACUUUUAAGUGAAUGAUGUAAGGAAGUCUUAGAUAUAGUCAACACAUUCUCGGACCUCCUGGAUCUAUUGUACGCUAGUUGUGGCAUUAUCCAAUCAUGUUACAUUCUCUCGAGGCCCUACCAGGGCCUCACCACUAGCCACCUUCAGAAGUCUAGAUCUAGAUGUUU